rnacentral:snRNA from 1 species
AGCUUUGUGCAGUGGCAAUAUCAUAGCCAAUGAAGUUGAUCUGAGGCACGAUGAUUAUUAAUUAAAAUGAUCACAUUUUAAAAUUUAUAAAUUUAUUCAUCUGUUGGCAGACA